rnacentral:tRNA from 1 species
UCCCUGGUGGCUUAGACGGUAAAGCGUCUGUCUACAAUGCAGGAGACCUGGGUUCGAUUCCUGGGUCUGGAA